rnacentral:rRNA from 1 species
UACGUAGGGUGCAAGCGUUGUCCGGAAUUAUUGGGCGUAAAGGGCUCGUAGGCGGUCUGUCACGUCGGGAGUGAAAACUCAGGGCUUAACCCUGAGCCUGCUUCCGAUACGGGCAGACUAGAGGUAUGCAGGGGAGAACGGAAUUCCUGGUGUAGCGGUGAAAUGCGCAGAUAUCAGGAGGAACACCGGUGGCGAAGGCGGUUCUCUGGGAAUAUCCUGACGCUGAGGAGCGAAAGUGUGGGGAGCGAACAGG